CCUACGGGUGGCAGCAGUGAGGAAUAUUGGUCAAUGGACGCAAGUCUGAACCAGCCAUGCCGCGUGCAGGAAGAAGGCUCUAUGAGUUGUAAACUGCUUUUGUACGGGGGUAAAUCCCGACACGUGUAUAGGUUUGAAAGUAUCCUACGAAUAAGGAUCGGCUAACUCCGUGCCAGCAGCCGCGGUAAUACGGAGGAUUCAAGCGUUAUCCGGAUUUAUGGGGUUAAAAGGGUGCGUAGGUGGACGUUUAAGUCAGUGGUAAAAUUGCGGGGCUCAACCUCGGAGAGCCGUUGAAACUGGGUGCCUUGAGUGGGCGAGAGGUACGCGGAAUGCGUGGUGUAGCGGUGAAAUGCAUAGAUAUCACGCAGAACUCCGAUUGCGAAGGCAGCUUACCGGCCCCCAACUGACGCUGAAGCACGAAGGCGUGGGUAUCGAACAGGAUUAGAUACCCGAGUAGUC
rnacentral:rRNA from 1 species